rnacentral:rRNA from 1 species
AUUGAACGCUGGCGGCAGGCCUAACACAUGCAAGUCGAACGGUAACAGGAAGCAGCUUGCUGCUUUGCUGACGAGUGGCGGUCGGGUGAGUAAUGUCUGGGAAACUGCCUGAUGGAGGGGGAUAACUACUGGAAACGGUAGCUAAUACCGCAUAACGUCGCAAGACCAAAGAGGGGGACCUUCGGGCCUCUUGCCAUCGGAUGUGCCCAGAUGGGAUUAGCUAGUAGGUGGGGUAACGGCUCACCUAGGCGACGAUCCCUAGCUGGUCUGAGAGGAUGACCAGCCACACUGGAACUGAGACACGGUCCAGACUCCUACGGGAGGCAGCAGUGGGGAAUAUUGCACAAUGGGCGCAAGCCUGAUGCAGCCAUGCCGCGUGUAUGAAGAAGGCCUUCGGGUUGUAAAGUACUUUCAGCGGGGAGGAAGGGAGUAAAGUUAAUACCUUUGCUCAUUGACGUUACCCGCAGAAGAAGCACCGGCUAACUCCGUG